UCCGAGCAUCUCGGAGACGUCGUCCCCUCCCGGCUGGAGACCUGCAAUCAGAAUGCUGAAGGCACCUAAGGAGGCAAAGAUCCCGGCUCCCAUCGCGUUUUCCCUGGGCUAGCUCCAUGUCCCAAACGACGCCUGGGGUCAGGGAGAGGAGGUGGCUGGGUUUUGUCUACUCACCUGUCCCAGAAAAUCAGAUGACGCUCGGCUGCGUGUUUUGCGGGACAAGGCUCGGAUGCGCGUAACCCCCCGAUUUUAACGACCGCGUAACUCAUCACGCGACCCCCUACCCAGCGCGCAGCCUCCGUCCCCGCUGUUUUUUGUUCAGCGAGUCAUUCUGGAGGUAGAGGGCAGCGAAGCAAAACAGGCAGCGAGGCCCCGCCGCAAGCCUCGCCCCGUGACUGGAGGCGCUGAAGUUGGCCGGAGUCGGGGGAGGCCGGCCCCAAGCUCCCCUCAGGGCUCCUCACAGCCAGAACCGCCCGGGCCCUGAGGUAACCGCCCGCAGCGCGGGGUCGGGGGACGCGGCGCCGGGCGGGUCCCGCCGGGGC